ACAUGAAGCUGGAAUCGCUAGUAAUCGCGGAUCAGAAUGCCGCGGUGAAUACGUUCCCGGGUCUUGUACACACCGCCCGUCACACCAUGGGAGUCGGAAAUGCCCGAAGCCGGUGACCUAACCUUUCAGGAAGGAGCCGUCGAAGGCAGGUCUGAUAACGUGGGGUGAAGUCGUAACAAGGUAAC
rnacentral:rRNA from 1 species